rnacentral:rRNA from 1 species
GUGAGGAAUUUUGCACAAUGGGGGAAACCCUGAUGCAGCGACGCCGCGUGAGUGACGAAGGUCUUCGGAUCGUAAAGCUCUGUCAGCAGGGAAGAAAUGUGCGAUGGCUAAUAUCCAUGGUACUUGACGGUACCUGCAAAGGAAGCACCGGCUAACUCCGUGCCAGCAGCCGCGGUAAUACGGAGGGUGCGAGCGUUGUUCGGAUUUACUGGGCGUAAAGGGCGCGUAGGCGGCCUAUCAAGUCAUAUGUGAAAGCCCACGGCUCAACCGUGGAAGUGCAUGUGAAACUGGCAGGCUUGAGUACUGGAGGGGAGUGUGGAAUUCCCGGUGUAGAGGUGAAAUUCGUAGAUAUCGGGAGGAAUACCGGUGGCGAAGGCGACACUCUGGACAGAUACUGACGCUGAGGCGCGAAAGCGUGGGGAGCAAACAGGAUUAGAAACCCUGGUAGUCC